GACGGAGGAUGCAAGCGUUAUCCGGAAUUAUUGGGCGUAAAGCGUCCGUAGGUGGUUGAAUAAGUCUGCUGUCAAAGACUGUGGCUUAACUAUGGGAAGGCAGUGGAAACUGAUCGACUAGAGUGUGGAAGGGGUAGAGGGAAUUCCCAGUGUAGCGGUGAAAUGCGUAGAUAUUGGGAAGAACACCAGUGGCGAAGGCGCUCUACUGGGCCAACACUGACACUGAUGGACGAAAGCUACGGGAGCGAAAGGG
rnacentral:rRNA from 1 species